GACGAAGGUGGCGAGCGUUGUUCGGAAUCACUGGGCAUAAAGCGCACGUAGGCGGCCAAGUAAGUCGGGUGUGAAAGCCCUCGGCUCAACCGAGGAACGGCAUUCGAUACUGCAUGGCUUGAGGUCCGGAGGGGAGAGUGGAAUUCCCGGUGGAGCGGUGAAAUGCGUAGAGAUCGGGAAGAACGCCGGCGGCGAAAGCGACUCUCUGGUCGGAAUCUGACGCUGAGGUGCGAAAGCUAGGGGAGCAAACGGG
rnacentral:rRNA from 1 species